GUUGAAUUUUGACGUUGGAGGUUGCCACCAAGUCGCACGUUGAACAAACGUUAAAGAGAGAAAAAUGACACAAACAAUACGGAAUAACAUGGACUUUUUCAAUGCUAGUAAUGGUACAAAGGCAUUGGCAUCUGGCCAUCAAUUUCUUGACUUGCAGGAUACGUGCAGUUGCAAGAGAAGCCCAAUUGGUUCCCUUUUAAGGGUUUAUUGCUCAUUUUGUAUGGCUCAUUUCACUUUUUACUCUCUCUUAGGGGCCUUAAAUUCAAGCAAUAACUCGAGAGAAUCUUUUUACUGCCAAUAAUAUCCUCCUUUCGAUAUGAUUAUCCAUGUCCAUAUGCCAAAUAGGACCAUGGUUGGGAGAGGUGACAUGGGAGAAUUGCGUGACUUAGUGGGUACUUUUAAUGGCGUUGCUUGUAUAGUCAUCGACCAUCAUUCACGCCUUAACUUGAAAGCAUGAUGGGCAUCUUUUUCUUUGACAAAUAACUUCUGGGACUAGGAGUCUGAAGUAUGGGUCUUUGAAAAGCAGGCUAAGACUUGUAUCUUUUGCAAUCACGGGCUUGAUUCUAUGCGAAAAAUGUUGGAAGCAUGAAAGCUUAUUCCCAAAUUCACAUGAUGCUAUGCAGGUAUGGUAUGGGUCCACCCAAUACAAGACAAAGACUUUAGUCUCAUAUGCAAUCACAUGAUGCACAACUGCGAGACAAACCAAUUGCAUGGUCAUUACAAAGGCAUAACAGCCAUCAGUGGAUGAUUCUAAGUCUGUAAAAAACCAUCUUUUUCAUGAUGAAACGUUGCCAUCUUUCUUCCGAAGAUUAGCCUGGUCACCUGAUGGGUCAUUUUUACUUGUGCCUGCAGGUUCUUACAAGAUUUCACCUGCAUCUGAAACAGUAAAUACAGCUUACAUAUUUUCCAGAAAGGAUCUCCCAAGGUAAGAUUUUAGCUGCAUAGUUUUUUAGUUGUCCCUUCUGAUAUUGCACUUCUGUUGCAUUCUUAAGACGAGCUAUGGGCACCGUAUAUUGAGCCUGAUCUCUUAAUGCAAUUCAGCUGAAUUAAUAUCAAUCUGUUCUUUUCAGUACGCAAUAACUACACUUUUAAUCAAUAAAAUA